CCUCCUGUGAAGGAGCCUGCUUCCAGCCAUGUGAAGAUGCCUGCUGCAGCCUUGCCUUCUGCCAUGAAUAAAAGCUCCCUGAGGCCUCCCUAGAAGAAGAUGCUGCCAUGCUUCCUGUACAGUCUGCAGAACCGUUUUUGUUUCCUGUACCCAUUCCUGGUCUGAAUUUUCUCCACAAGCGAUCCUGCUGCUUUCAUUCGGCAUUGAGCUAUGUGAUGAAAGAGGCCUUAUCUAGUCCUGCCUCAGGAACAAAACCAAGUUAAAAAAUAAUUUUCAACAGCCAUUGUAUGCAAGACACAGUCCUAAGAUGAGGACUGGAAGACGAGCAAAGGAUACAAUAAUUGGAGGCCACUCCUGUUCUCAAGUAGUUUAGAGCUAGUUGGAGAGACAGACAUAGGUGUAAUGUGAACUAAUAUUAUGUGAUGUCAACUUACUAACUCAAGAUGGCAAUAAAAUAGAAGUGAGAAUUCCACUACAUACCUAUUAGAAUGGUCAAAAUCCAGAAUGCUUACAUCACCAAAUGCUGAUGAGGAUGUGGAGCAAUCGGAACUCUCAUUCAUUGCUGGCGAGAAUGCGAAAUUGUAUAGCCGCUUUGGAAGACAGUUUGGCGAUUUCUUACAAAACUAAGCACACUCUUCCCAAAUGAUCCAGAAACUGCACUCCUUUGUAUUAAUUCAAAGGCGUUGAAAAUCGAUGACCAUACAAAAACCUGCACAUGGAUAUUUAUAGCAGCUUUUUUCGUAAUUGCCAAAACUUGAAUGCAACCAAGAUCUCCUUCAGUAGGUGAAUGGUUCAAUAAACUGUGGUACAUUCAAACAAUGGAAUAUUAUUUAGCACUAAAAGGAUAUGAACUAUCAAGCCAUGAAAAGGAAAACUUAAAUGCAUAUUACUAAAAAAAAAAAAAAAAUAAGGGAAAGUUGAAUGCAAUUACUAAGUUUAAAAAAAAGCCAAUCAUAAAAGGCUACAUACUCUAUGGUUCCAACAAUAUGACAUUCUGGAAAAGGCAAAACUAUGAAGAGGGAUGAAUAGGCAGAACACAGAGGAUCUUUGAGGUGGUGAAACAACUCUGCAUGACACCGUAAUGGUGGAUACAUGUAACUAUACGUUUGUCCAAACCCAUAGAAUCUACAAUUCCAAGAGUGAACUCUAAUGCUAACUACAGUCUUCGGGUGAUAAUAAUGUGUUGAUACAGGCUCACAAUUGUAGCAAAUGUACCACUCUGGUGUAGGAUGUUAAUAAUGGGGGAGGCUGUGAUGUGUGGAGGCAGGGGUCUUCUGGGAACAAUCUAUACCUUCUGCUCAGUUUUGCUGUGAAUCUAAAACUGCUCUAAAAAAAUAAAAUCUAUUUUUUUAAGUGAGAAGGAAGCAUAUGAAUGUUCAGAGAAGAUAAAGUCUACGUAGGCAAUAAAGGAGACAAUGGAAAAGGGGUCUUGAAGUACAGGUGGAAUUGGCCAGGCAAGAAGGAUAAAGAAGACUAUUAUAGCCCUGGAAAAGAGUAUAAACAAAGACAGUCAGUUAUGCUCUAAGUCUUGGUUUUGAAAACAUGAAUUUGUUUCAACCUGAUUCAUGUACUGGGGAGCAAUCUGAGUGCAAUACAGAUUUUGCAUUUGCUUGUGCAUGAUUUUUCCUUGAGAAACACCAGGUGAAUGGAGAAAACUCUACUCAGCUGAACCAAACAGGGCAGAAGUACACAAAAUGUACACAAGGACACCUCUCAAAUUUCUACCACCUAACCGAGUUUACAGGGUGUGUUAGAAACCCUCUUUCCACCACUUCAUAGGAACUCAUAAACUGCACCCCUUUCAACAACCAACUCCAUAUACAAAAUUAAUGUCCGUUUCAGGAUACUGUGCCAUAUUUAUUGUAGCAUGUAUCUAUUUCUUAACCAUUUAAUGUGUGAACUGUGCUACAAUUUUAUUAGAUUCCUAUCUUUUUUGUUGUUACAUUGACAAAACUUCUGAAUGUUGUAAUCUCUAACUAUUUUUCCCAUUAGCCCUAUAAUUCUUUUUUGUUUG
rnacentral:lncRNA from 1 species